rnacentral:rRNA from 1 species
AUUCCAGCUCCAAUAGCGUAUAUUAAAGUUGUUGCAGUUAAAAAGCUCGUAGUUGGAUUUCUGUCUCUUUUGGGAUGCGGUCCGCCCUUCAUGGGUGAGCACUGUUAUCCUGGGGACAUCCUCUCAAAGGCGUUAUGGUGCACUUAGUUGUGUGCUUAAUGAAUUUGGGAUCUUUACUUUGAAAAAAUUAGAGUGUUCAAAGCAGGCUUAUUGCUUGAAUAUAUUAGCAUGGAAUAAUGGAAUAGGACUUUGGUUCUAUUUUGUUGGUUUCUAGGACUGAAGUAAUGAUUAAUAGGGACAGUUGGGGGCAUUAGUAUUUAAUUGUCAGAGGUGAAAUUCUUGGAUUUAUGAAAGACUAACUACUGCGAAAGCAUUUGCCAAGGAUGAUUUCAUCA